rnacentral:rRNA from 1 species
GCAUAUCAAUAAGCGGAGGAAAAGAAACCAACCGGGAUUGCCUCAGUAACGGCGAGUGAAGCGGCAAGAGCUCAAAUUUGAAAUCUGGCCCCUCCGGGGUCCGAGUUGUAAUUUGCAGAGGAUGCUUCGGGUGCGGCCCCCGUCUAAGUGCCCUGGAACGGGCCGUCAGAGAGGGUGAGAAUCCCGUCUUGGGCGGGGUGUCCGUGCCCGUGUGAAGCUCCUUCGACGAGUCGAGUUGUUUGGGAAUGCAGCUCUAAAUGGGUGGUAAAUUUCAUCUAAAGCUAAAUACUGGCCGGAGACCGAUAGCGCACAAGUAGAGUGAUCGAAAGAUGAAAAGCACUUUGAAAAGAGAGUUAAACAGCACGUGAAAUUGUUGAAAGGGAAGCGCUUGCGACCAGACUCGCCCGCGGGGUUCAGCCGGCAUUCGUGCCGGUGUACUUCCCCGUGGGCGGGCCAGCGUCGGUUUGGGCGGCCGGUCAAAGGCCUCCGGAAUGUAUCGCCCCCCGGGGCGUCUUAUAGCCGGAGGUGCAAUGCGGCCAGCCUAGACCGAGGAACGCGCUUCGGCACGGACGCUGGCAUAAUGGUCGCAAACGACCCGUCUUGAAACACGGACCAAGGAGUCUAACAUCUACGCGAGUGUUCGGGUGUCAAACCCGUACGCGCAGUGAAAGCGAACGGAGGUGGGAGCCCCCUCGUGGGGCGCACCAUCGACCGAUCCUGAUGUCUUCGGAUGGAUUUGAGUAUGAGCGUAGCUGUGGGGACCCGAAAGAUGGUGAACUAUGCCUGAAUAGGGCGAAGCCAGAGGAAACUCUGGUGGAGGCUCGCAGCGGUUCUGACGUGCAAAUCGAUCGUCAAAUUUGGGUAUAGGGGCGAAAGACUAAUCGAACCAUCUGGUAGCUGGGUCCUGCG